UGGGGAAUAUUGGACAAUGGGCGGAAGCCUGAUCCAGCAACGCCGCGUGAGGGAUGACGGCCUUCGGGUUGUAAACCUCUUUCAGCAGGGAAGAAGCGAAAGUGACGGUACCUGCAGAAGAAGCACCGGCUAACUACGUGCCAGCAGCCGCGGUAAUACGUAGGGUGCGAGCGUUGUCCGGAAUUAUUGGGCGUAAAGAGCUUGUAGGCGGUUUGUCGCGUCUGCCGUGAAAAUCCGAGGCUCAACCUCGGACUUGCGGUGGGUACGGGCAGACUAGAGUGUGGUAGGGGAGACUGGAAUUCCUGGUGUAGCGGUGAAAUGCGCAGAUAUCAGGAGGAACACCGAUGGCGAAGGCAGGUCUCUGGGCCACUACUGACGCUGAGAAGCGAAAGCAUGGGGAGCGAACA
rnacentral:rRNA from 1 species